AUUGAACGCUGGCGGCAGGCCUAACACAUGCAAGUCGAGCGGAAGAAGGGAGCUUGCUCCUGGAUUCAGCGGCGGACGGGUGAGUAAUGCCUAGGAAUCUGCCUGGUAGUGGGGGAUAACGUCCGGAAACGGGCGCUAAUACCGCAUACGUCCUGAGGGAGAAAGUGGGGGAUCUUCGGACCUCACGCUAUCAGAUGAGCCUAGGUCGGAUUAGCUAGUUGGUGGGGUAAAGGCCUACCAAGGCGACGAUCCGUAACUGGUCUGAGAGGAUGAUCAGUCACACUGGAACUGAGACACGGUCCAGACUCCUACGGGAGGCAGCAGUGGGGAAUAUUGGACAAUGGGCGAAAGCCCGAUCCAGCCAUGCCGCGUGUGUGAAGAAGGUCUUCGGAUUGUAAAGCACUUUAAGUGGGGAGGAAGGGCAGUAAGUUAAUACCUUGCUGUUUUGACGUUACCAACAGAAUAAGCACCGGCUAACUUCGUG
rnacentral:rRNA from 1 species